GAUGAAGAACGUAGUGAAAUGCGAUAAGUAAUGUGAAUUGCAGAAUUCAGUGAAUCAUCGAAUCUUUGAACGCACAUUGUGCCCGCCAGUAUUCUGGCGGGCAGGCCUGUUCGAGCGUCAUUACAACCCUCAGGCCCCCGGGCCUGGCGUUGGGGAUCGGCGGAGCCCCCCGUGGGCACACGCCGUCCCCCAAAUGCAGUGGCGGUCCCGCCGCAGCUUCCAUCGCGUAGUAGCUAACACCUCGCGACUGGAGAGCGGCGCGGCCACGCCGUAAAACACCCAACUCUUCUGAAGUUGACCUCGAAUCAGGUAGGAAUACCCGCUGAACUUAAGCAUAUCAAUAAGCGGAGGA
rnacentral:misc_RNA from 1 species